AGAGCAGAAUACAUGUAAAUCAAAACAGUAUUCGUUGAAAAUCUGUUGUCGAUUUUUUUCCUUUCCGAUAUAUAGAAAAUAUGAGGGUUAUUUUGUGCUUUUUAGUCGUUUGUUUGACUGUAUUCUCGGCGCAUCGCGAUGUCGAAGCAGGUACUCUAGGACUAGAAGUCAGCGCCUGUGAAACUUUGGAAAUCUGCCAAAGAUAUUGCCAGUUAGAUAAACCAGGAACCACAGGGGAUUGCGAAAAGAAAAAUCAACUUGAUCAAAAUAUUUGUAGCUGUAACUAAAUAUAAUACUGAAUGUUAUUUUAGCAUUAUAUAUCUAGUGUAGUUUUAUAUAAGUUUACUAAUUUUAUUACUACUGCUAAAAGAUCACUAUGUGAUAACAUAUAUUUUUAUACAAGAUAAAGUUUGUUUUCAGUGGUGUUACUGUAAUUAAAAUUUCAUAUAAAUUAGACAUGGGGUAGACAAUAAACUUAAACUUCUUAAAAUACUUCUUCUUAAAAUUAUUAAAAAAAAUAACAGGGUUUCAGUAUUAUCAUUCAAUUAGGUAAAAUCAGCAAAUAAAAUAUAUCUAAAAUUU